GCAAAGGAGAGAAAGGAAUCCCCCAACAUGUAAGGAUAUCCAGAAGCAACUCUGAAAUCCAGAGAACGGAAAUUGGGGGCAUAUGUCUUCUAGCUAUGGUAUAGUAAAUUUGUGUAACUGAACUCAAGAAUUCUCUGAAGCACUGUUAUCUUCUUUUCAGCCUUUUCUGAGAGAGUUCCCAAAGAAGCUGUCAGAAGAUUACCAUAUUUGAUCCACACUUAAGGAGUAUAAAUGCUAAACUUGGAAGCAACCCCCUGGGUUGGACCUCCACUUUCAAAGAUGAGGAAGUAGAUGCUCCAUACAGGAAAAGGACGUGCCUAAUACCAGAUAUGUAAUUAAUCAGAGCCAUAGCCAGGGCGAGAGACACCCAUCUCUGGAUUCAGAGCUCUCUCUGUUGCACAAGCCCAGUCUUCUAAAGCAAGUUACCUGGAGUUAACUCUCCAGUAUAUUAUAUAAUUUGUAGUAUGUCCAAUGCUACCGAUGGAAACUAGAACUUAGAGUCAUCAGUGCCUGGCAUAGUAAAGGCUCCUGAACUCCACAUACAUAUAUGCUUCACUCGGGAAUAUCCCCUGAAGGCAGCACAUAUAUAUAUGAGGGGCUGCUCUUGGGUUGCUGUAAAACGUAGAAUGAGCAGGGAGAUGAGACGGCUCUAAGGUGGCAGAGCUGGGACUGCUGAGAGGCAGGAAAGAGACUGGCAGGUCAAAUGGAAAAAGAGGCUGGGCUUGAACCCGGGCCAGAGGGAAAUCAUCUGGAGGACCAAUUGUUCUUCAGGAGAGGAAGGAAGGCAGCCUGACCACAGAACAGAAGAGGAGAGGAAGAAAGCACGUGUACGUGGUUGAGUGAGUCAUUUUCUUAAAAGACAAAACCAGGGCAAAAUAGGCAUAUGAAUUAGAGCGUUAUCACGGUUGACAUCUGGCUGCCCCUUUAGUAUUUUGAAUCUAGGAUUAAAUAGGGAAAUUAGGAAUGUUUACAGACAUGUUAGGGAAAUAGGUUAUCUCAUGUCUUUGAAGGAACUGCUUAUAAAUACUGAGUUUCAGGGGCUUAUCCAUAUCUGUCUCUUCUUGCUCUUUAAAACUAGACUGGUGCCAACGAGACUGCUGACUGGUCUGGGUUGUUAAUGUAUAUAAACUUAAUCUACUAGGGACAGGCUGAGAUCUUAUAAAAACAUCUUGUUUUCUCUUUCUAACAUCACAGAUAUAUCAAAUUUUGCAGAAGCCCAGCUGAUGUAAAAAACAGAGAAAGCUUUUCAGAAAUUAAACUCAGCCUUGCCCUGAUAGAUUUCUGUGUGAGUCCAUGAAAAUAUUAUUAGGCAGUGCUUUGUAUGAGAAAUCUAUAUAACUUAGCAUUCAAAAUAGAAAAGUUGACUACUGCAAGACUGUGAAAUAACAUAUGCUAAUAAUAA